ensembl:rRNA 5S_rRNA 5S ribosomal RNA
GUCUACAGCCAUACCAUCCUGAAUGUGCCUGAUCUUGUCUGAUCUCAGAAGCUAAGCAGGGUUGGGCCUGGUUAGUACUUGGAUGGGAGAAAUAUAUACAUAAUAGGCACUGAUGGGCC